GACGAACGCUGGCGGCGUGCUUAACACAUGCAAGUCGAACGAUGAAGCCGGAGCUUGCUCCGGUGGAUUAGUGGCGAACGGGUGAGUAACACGUGAGCAAUCUGCCCUUGACUCUGGGAUAACUGCGGGAAACUGUAGCUAAUACCGGAUACGACACCUUGGGGCAUCCCAGGGUGUGGAAAGAAUUUCGGUCAAGGAUGAGCUCGCGGCCUAUCAGCUAGUUGGUGAGGUAAUGGCUCACCAAGGUGACGACGGGUAGCCGGCCGGAGAGGGGGACCGGGCACACUGGAACUGAGACAGGGUCCAGACUGCUACGGGAGGCAGCAGUGGGGAAUAUUGCACAAUGGGCGAAAGCCUGAUGCAGCAGCGCCGCGUGAGGGAUGAAGGCCUUCGGGUUGUAAACCUCUUUUAGCAGGGAAGAAGCGAAAGUGACGGUACCUGCAGAAAAAGCACCGGCUAACUACGUGCCAGCCGCCGCGGUAA
rnacentral:rRNA from 1 species